rnacentral:tRNA from 1 species
AUUUAAAUUAACUUAGUUAAUGAGCUUGAAUAAGCAUAU